rnacentral:lncRNA from 1 species
UUUACACCACAAUAUCUGACAUGGUGGAGACCAAAACUUGAAAAUGGUCAGUGAUCAGUGAUUAUCCUGUUGUAUCUGAUUUCCCCUGAAAUUUUAAAUUUACAUAUACAUACAGGUUUCUCUCAAAAUACAGAGGUAGCUUUGUGGACCGACGUUUAAGUGCAAUUUAAAGAAACUUUACUUUUGUGUUACCAUUUAUACUUCUGCCCAUUUGUGAGAGAAGAAAUAUUCAGUCAUUACUUUGGAACAGAAAAGGGCAAUCCAUUUCCUCAAGCUGGAAGAUACCAGUUAAUUUUGGCUUCCCCCACUCACCCCUGAUCAGACAUGGUAUCUUCCAGGUUCUGAUUGGCUGAAUACACCUGAUCCAGGUAAUGAGCAGGGACAUUUGGAAACAAGCAUGGUAGUGGCCUCCCAGGAGCAGGGUCAUACACUGUUGCUUUAAAGAUUGAAUUAGAUUUUAAAAUAUGAUACAUUCUGCAUUAAAAUCAAAAUGCUUAAGCCACCUUCACAAACUACUACAUUUAAAUACUACUUAUAUGCUAUUGCAUCAAAAAUAUUCAAGUAUGAUAGUACAGUAAUGAUAUUAUUAAGAUUUAUACGUUCUUAGUACUUUUAUUCCUGAUACUAUAAGAACAUUUGACUGCUUUUUCUGUACCUAAUGAAAAUGUUGAAUGCAGGGAUUUUGCUGCUUUUCAGUAUUUGCUCAACUUCUUCUAAAGACACACCCACCUGAGCCCCUCUAAGGGACUAUGGAGGCAAAUAUGGUCUGGUGACCCCCUCCCCCUCAAACCUCUCCCCAGCCCACAGCCUCCAAAUCCACUCGUAACGCAAAGAAACCUUUCAUGUGACUGCUGGGGUAGAGGUUGAACUUUGGAAACCUUAAAGGAGAAACCCCCGAAGACACACGUCUUGUUGUGGACGUUACCGACCACUAUGGCUUCCACUCCUUCCGCGUCUGCUUUGUCCGCUGUUCUCCGAUGUCGGGGAAAUAUCUGGCCCAGAAGUCCGCCGACCAAGCGGCCUUCCGCCUCGGUGUGCAGCCGCGGACUGGCCGGUGGGGCCCUACGCGAAAACCAAAACCAGACGUCAGCUUGUGAGGCUUUUCUCCAAAGAGAGCGUGUUGUGUAUGGUGGGAGAAUAACUGUGUCGCGUGAGCCGUCCUCGGUGCAUAGAAAAACACCGAAAGAAAAAGAUUUAAGGAAAAUGAACAGAUUUAAUUAUUUGAAACCCCCAGCGCACGAGCACUCAGCUGCGUCUGGCUUCCAAAACGCGCUGGUGCGUCAGCUGGCGCGCAGCCUGACAUUUAACCUAUCUGGAAUUGAUAAGUGCUCUAAAAUAAUCCAAACCAUUAAAUACGAAACACACCGUGCACCCAGUGGACCUCCAGCUGGUAUUAUGAAAGUGUGCAUAUCGUUCCCGUGUCCGAUGGAAAACGAACAUUUGCAGUCUCUCGUGUCGACACUAAAGAGCACCUGCUCAUCUUUGACUGCUCUGCUGUCAGAGAUGAUGUUAUUGUGGAGGUUUAACAGCCCUGGUGAUGAACUGGAUGCCCUGCAGAGAAAUGGACAAAGUGGCACUUCCGCUGACUUGACCGCCUCCAAAGACAACUCUGGCCGUGGACAAAGGAUCACAGAGGACAGACCUGAUUGAGAGUUCAAGGCCUCAGCACCAAAAAUACACUGUGACCCAACCUUAUUUAUUGACUUUCACUUGGCUUUCACAGUGCACAGAAACAUUUGGACUUCAGCCCAGUACCCAAAGAAAAACAACUGGUUGUUUUUUUUAAUUUGCUUUACGUAAAAAAUAAGUCAUGGAGUGAACUGUACUGAACUGUAGUCCUGCAUUCUUAUUAUUUACUGUUCAAGGUUUUUAUAGUGGGUAUAAUUAAAAUAUUGACAGUGCAUUUUAUUAUUGGUUUUGGCCUGUAUGUUUUGCACAAACUUUAUUUUGCAAAGAUUGUGGAAUAAAAUUUUCCUUUGGAAUGGAGCAAAACUAUAAAACCCCACAAAAUAUCUAAAUCAAGCCCGAGUAAAAGCUUUAUACAGUAAAUGUGCAUGUAGCAUCAGAUGGAAAUAUUCACUUAUAGUGAUGGCAGAUAAAGUGGAACAACACAUAGUCUCUUUAGACCACAGCAAAAAUGAUAACACAUUUUAUUAAAG